rnacentral:rRNA from 1 species
UACGUAGGGUGCGAGCGUUAAUCGGAAUUACUGGGCGUAAAGCGUGCGCAGGCGGUUAUGUAAGACAGAGGUGAAAUCCCCGGGCUCAACCUGGGAACUGCCUUUGUGACUGCAUAGCUAGAGUACGGUAGAGGGGGAUGGAAUUCCGCGUGUAGCAGUGAAAUGCGUAGAUAUGCGGAGGAACACCGAUGGCGAAGGCAAUCCCCUGGACCUGUACUGACGCUCAUGCACGAAAGCGUGGGGAG